GGCUCCAUGACCCAAUGGUGGGGCAGCGGAUUCCAAAUCCGAAGGUUGUGGGUUCAAGUCCCACUUGGGGUCA
rnacentral:tRNA from 1 species